rnacentral:rRNA from 1 species
UACAGAGGUCCCGAGCGUUGUCCGGAUUUACUGGGUGUAAAGGGUGCGCAGGCGGACUUAUAAGUCAGUGGUGAAAUCUCACAGCUUAACUGUGAAACUGCCUUUGAUACUGUAGGUCUUGAAUUAGGGAGAGAUUCGUGGAAUUCCGAGUGUAGCAGUGAAAUGUGUAGAUAUUCGGAAGAACACCAGAGGCGAAGGCAGCGAAUUGGCCCUAUAUUGACGCUCAGGCACGAAAGCAUGGGGAUCAAACAGG